AGAGAGAAAGAAAGAAAAAAAGAGGUGGCAGGACAGAAAGAAAGUGACAGAGAUAGAUUAAGUAGAAAAUAUCACCACUCCAUGGAUCCAAACAAUGUCCCAUUGAUCCUCUCCAUUCAGUCUUCUUGGUGGUGAGGGUCCUUCCCCAAAAACAUAGAGUCUGGUGGAUUAAUACACAUUUAAGCCAGAAAAUGCCCAGGUACUACCCCAGAGAGGGGCAGGCAAUUUUGACACUUUCUCUGGUAACAGACUUUGGAUCUGUUGAAUCUCUUUGCAUCACGUGCAGUGCUCUGGUGCAAGGCCUCAGGAAUAAGUCUGGGGAGCAUUUUUGGGGGGUCUUUGAUGGGUUAUGACACCCCCUCAGCUGUUCUUCACAUGAAUGCCCUGUAGAUAUGGCCUUUCAGGGGUAGGGGGUUUUACAACUGAGCCUGUUUGUGUAAGGGAGGAUGGGUGUUCAGUGUCUGUGACCUGAGGUUAUGCCACACACCCAAAACUCUCCUCCUCUCACUUUGGUUGGGGGGGGUGCAAACCUGCCCUCAACAGAGAGCCUGAGGGCUAUGGCUUCCUCCACCCCAUGGAACGAAGACAGGGAUGGUUUUCAGGACAGCUGCUGGGUUUGGCUUUCUUGUGGAUGCAUUCUUCUCCCUCAGCCUUGUUUUUCCUAGACCUGAAAUGAUUGAAUAACACUGUCACCUCUAUCUUAUCUCAAGUUCCCUUCGGUGGCUUAACUCACCAUUCAGAGUUCCCCUUAGGAGGCAUCUUCAGGGAGGGGAGGGCUUUGGUGAUCACACCUUCUUUAUACAGUUUUGUCUUCAUGGACAAAAGUCCCUCAUAACAAUGUUUAAGCCAUGACAUAACAUUUCAGUCUCUGACAAUUGGCAACAGAAAACCAUUUCAGAAAGUGAAGACAGUCUUCAUGAGUAAAGGUUAUAAUAAGCAAGCCUUGACUUGCAGCCUGGCUUGCUAAGUUUUGCUUUAGGCUACUGGGUUUUCUGAAUCUCUCCAUGGAAAGUAAAUUGAAAAGUAGCACAAAGGUCAUCUGAUUUGCAACUGAAUGAGUUUUGAGACUGUUAAAAGACAGCUUGACUGCCCAUCUCUUAUCCACCUCUUGCCCACCUUCAGCUCUUCCACUGACUUUACCCCUCCCUCCAGCACCAAGGGAUUUAAAUUUUUGUGCUUUCAAUUAUUUCAUAGCUUGAGGUAAAGGAAAUGCUUUGCUGCCUUCAUCUACAUGAACUGUAUAAUGCAGGGAAUUAGCAAGAGGUGUUGACAUUGACACCCUCUCUAAUACUAGAAGGACAGUCAGUGCUCCAAUUCACCAUUUAUAUAAUUAGAAGAUUUCUGAAUCCCGGUUGCUUUGGUGAACCAAAAGCAGUCAUCGCCAGAAACAAUUUACCCUACCAGCCCUUCAUCUGUUCACAGAGCAAAGGGCAGGUCCUGUCUCACAUUCCUCACCAAGAGAGGAAGAGCUGACCACACUCAGUGAGAAAUUUAAUUACAGUCAUCACAGCAAAAGCCCUGCUGUAAUUUCAUUUGUUUCUUAUUGCAUUCUUAAAAUUAUUCUGUUGUUGCUCGAAAGGUAUUGUUUGGCUUCAGUGAUCUAGCAGUCCAAGAUAUGUGAAGUAGGAAUUUAAAAUGCAAUAAUCAGAUUAAGCAUGUGAAAUAUGAUCAAUAUAUGAUUUCAGCUUUCACUGGACUGUUAAGCACCUGCAUGACCAUGCUGCCUAGUGAUCCCACAGCUGACAGCUGUGGUCACCCAUGAGACCUCUGACUGGAAGGCCACAUGAGAGCUGCUCCCAACUCACCAAUACUUACCUUUUUGUCAAUAUUAAAUGGAAUGAAUGCAGGUUGUGCCACCUGAUAACCUUCUUAUGCCUUCUCUAUGCAGUCAGCAGCUUUGGAGAGCCAUCCCUGGGUGGAACUCCACUGGGUAAUGAGGCAUUGCCAGACACUGCUGUAACCAUGCACUUGACCACUCAUACCUCUACAUCAGGAGCAACCAUCAUGAUGUAUUCACUUUUUUGGUUUGUUUAUUUCUGAGUGCACAAACAGCAGAACCAAAUGCAUACCAUUAGACUCAUAAAGAAUGUUUUCCCCUCUGCAUACAAAUUUCAGUGCCUGUAUCUUCUUUAGCUAUUGCCAGAACUUUUGGGCACUUAGCUCCAUGAGUUGACAGGCACUGAAGUGAUUUAAUUUUGGAACAGUCCUAACGUAUUUUACAGUUCUGAAAACACUGUUUAAGAAAUAUUUGGCCAAAACUUCCAGUCAAGGAUGGACGCAUCUGUUCUUUGCAGUUUUAAAAUAGGAAAACCAAAAUGCACUAGUGAGAUCACUUGUCCUGCCACAUCUAACACAGCCCACAAUGUGCACAAAACCUCAAGAGGAGGAAAGCAUCCUCUCCUUCCGCCAGGAACUGACUCCCAUGUAAAACCAAAGAGCAGAUAUUUUCAAUACAGCAGAAGAGUUGCUCCAUGGCAAAUCUGCUACAGAGCAGCAAAAGAAAAACCUCUGCCUUUUACAUCACAGAGAAGAUCUAUCUGUCCCUCUUGGAUGAAUAGCCCUAUCCACAGGGACCACUGCUUUUUACUUUUCUUUUUGAGGUACCUGUACCCCAAAGGCAAAAAUCUCAUUAUCCUUCUCUGUCCAUCUUGGCCUGGAAAUAUUUUUAAAUGCUCCCUGUGGAAAUCAGGUCUGUGUUUUCCAGAACAUAUGCUUACUGUGUCCUGUUACUCUUUCAGAUCAUAACAGGUCCAAAUGCUGUGUUCCUUCCCAUCCUCUGGGUUUGCAUGCUUUCUCUGACAGAGACUGCUGUGUAGCUGUGCCAGCUGGGUGCUACAGACCCUGCAGACGUGAUGUGACACAUCUUCUCUGAUUAUGGGCAGUUUAACAGCAAUGGACAAAAAUCAGGCACAGAAACUUAGUGCCGAUGUUCAUAUUUUUUGUGUCCCAUUUUUCAUUUCUUCAUCCCGUCAUUUUGAGCAUGUACUUACAGCUACAAAGUCUCCCAGGAAAAAAAAAAAUUCACUCUCCUCUGCCUCCAAAUACGUUGGAAAAGAGGACAGACUCUACAUUAGAAGUCGGGCUCCUGCCAGGUCACUACUCACAUUCCUUUGUCGAGACUGUGCUAAUUUUUCUGCAGGCCUUGAUCCAGGAGAAUUGCCUGGAAAAGAUCUCUGGCCCCAGGUUGCAACACCUGGUUUCCUGGCAGAUACAGCUGUCUCCCUGAAGGCACAAUGCUAAUGGUACCAACCCUACUGUCUGUCUGUCUGUCUGUCUAUCUAUCUUAAUUCUUGACCUACACCGAGAGAUGUGGUUAGAGAACCCAUGGCUCCUUCAUGAGUCCUUGGAAGGCAAAAUGGGCAUUUGUGACUGGUGAAGUGGUGGUGUGUUCUGAUUAUAGUACCUCUACUUAAUGCCACAUUUACCCACAAUGGAAAAAAAUGUGAUCUAGUCUGGAGUCUUUUAACUACUACAGACUGUUAACCACAGCCUGCAACUAACCAGGCUUGAAAUUUGCCUAUUUACAUGGCUGACAGAUGAGGAGUAGAUUUGCAGUAUAGGUCUGAGGAGCUGCAAGUGUGACUAGUUGAGCGUAGAACCCCUUCACACUGCUUGCUUUACUGCUGGGUGAAGGGAGAACAGCAAAAAUGCAUAUGUGGUGGAGACUGGGAGAGGGGGUAGUCCUUUGGAGAGUCUUCAUAAUCCCAGGCACUUAGCUCUGGCCACUGACUGUCAAUACAUCCUCCAUAAGCAAGUGUGUGCAGAGCAUGUCCUCUCUCUAAUGAUGGCAUUUUCUGCCUUUCAGCCUUGCAAGCAUACCUGCAUCAGCUCACUUGCAGAGUAAUGCCAUAAUGCUGGCUAGGCCAGGCAGCUGAGCUUUGACUUAUCCUGGACUGGAGGAAAAGUGUCACUGCCAUGGCCACAGACUGGACUUGGGAAGAAACUUCUUCUGUGCCUUGGAAACUGAUACAGACAGGUUAGAUGAUCUGAUUUGGUCAUAGACACUUAGUAAGGAUGAGGACCAGCUUAGUAGCAAGUGCAUGGCUGGAGGGGAGGAAACAACCUCAACAGAUCCUUUGCAUUGAAAAUUUUCAUGGUGUGACUUUCCCUAGCUUUCCUACAGGUAUCAACAAGCAGAUCUGGUCCCUUAAUCCUGAGAAGAUAAAUCCAAAGGCAAGAGAAUGUCUGAAAAGAGCAGCUUUGGGUCUCUAAUAACUGGAGUACAAGACUAAGUCUUCUUCUGGGAUGCAACGUAACUAUAGACUCUGAUAUAUAUGUAUAUGUAUUCUGAUAUUAUUCAACCACUUGAGAUAACCACUGCAGUUUAUCUAAUGCACUGGAAAUUUUGUAGUAAAAUAAUGUUAAUAUAAUAGUUCUUAAACCACUUCUGUGGCUGUUAUUAAAGAAGCAGGCAGAAGAAUUAAGAUAUCACCACGCUUGGUGAUCUUUGCCUGUCAUCUGGAUCCACAUUGCCACAGUAAGAGUUAAGCUGCUUUACUUAACAGUAAGGAAUGAACAAAAGCAGUUUUAAUAAUGGUGGUGUUACCAUGUGGUACUUAUCUAAGCAAUAAGUGAUGCAGUGUAAUUGCAGGCUGAAUUAGGUCACACUUCGUCACAUGGCUUAUUCUAAAUUGAUGUUACUUCUGUUUGAUUGUCCUUUCAAGAGCAGCGAUGUACUUCAAUAAAUGAAUAAGCUUGGGCAACAUUUCCAGAACUGUUUAAAACUACAAAAUUAGGCAAUUGCAAUUCAUGUAGUCUAUGACAGAAGUACUAUUACUGUCAUAGAAACUAGCAGAGCUUAUGACUACAACUCAUGAUUUAUUCUGCAGUCAGUUGAACAUAAACCAGUUGUAAUAAUAUUUAAAGCACAAUAUCUGAUACGUGUAAGAGAGACAGUCCAUAUUUGGAUGACUAGCAAAGAAAACCUCAACUACUAUCAUGUUAGGGACAUAAAGUACUUUUAACUGAAGAAAUUUUGUAGACAGUUCUUAAAAGUUGUUUGUACACAAUUCCCUUUCUCCUGAGGGGGAUGCAGUUACUUUGUUUAGAUUCUAGGCAAAGAGCUUACAAACUGUCUACAAAUAGGUCCUCAGUUCAGAAAGCAUGGAAAAAGCAGUGACUUACUCCAAGUGCUCUGCUGUGGUUUGAAGAAAUGAACGUUAAUCCCAGAAGCAGCUAUUGGAGUAUAAUGCUUAGACUAAUGUGCUCUAAAAAACUAGUUUGGGUGGGUGCAAGCUACAAGGAUGCAGCUACACUGUCACUGUCUCCAGGCACACUUCAUUUGCCGUUAGCUGAACUAUAUUUGGACUAUUUUCACUGAUAAAUGUACAGCAUGUCCUAUGUUUUUACAGUCCUUAGCAUAUUGGGGCCCUGCUCUUGACUGACCUCUAGACUGCACAAUGAUGCUAAUAAUAAAUACCAGGGAAAUAAAUGAUGACUUAACACGUUUGAUAUAUGUCCUCCAGUAUGGAAGAGCGAUAUGAAUAUGUACACCAGCACACUGUAAGCAGAUUCUGAUGUAUGCUAUAUAUUUUUAGCACAAUGGCCUUGAUCCAGAUAUUCCUGACAACAUCUUCUACUGUCUUUCAUCAUUUUGCAGUGAAUUUAUGUAGGAUACUCUAGAUUUGAGGUAGCUGUGGUCUAGAAUUAAAAUAAAUGUUGUAUAAAAAUGUAGUUUAGUAGCACCCUUUAGACAACUGCUGUGCAAACAACUGUCUGUUAGAGAAAAAUAAAUGACUGAAUAGAUGGCCCUGAAUAGAUUGUCCGAGUGUUCAUAUGUUGUGCUGCAAAAUAAACAUAAGUCUAGAAGAGAA